GAGGGUUUGAUCCUGGCUCAGGAUGAACGCUGGCGGCGUGCCUAAUACAUGCAAGUCGAGCGAACGGACGAGAAGCUUGCUUCUCUGAUGUUAGCGGCGGACGGGUGAGUAACACGUGGAUAACCUACCUAUAAGACUGGGAUAACUUCGGGAAACCGGAGCUAAUACCGGAUAAUAUUUUGAACCGCAUGGUUCAAAAGUGAAAGACGGUCUUGCUGUCACUUAUAGAUGGAUCCGCGCUGCAUUAGCUAGUUGGUAAGGUAACGGCUUACCAAGGCAACGAUGCAUAGCCGACCUGAGAGGGUGAUCGGCCACACUGGAACUGAGACACGGUCCAGACUCCUACGGGAGGCAGCAGUAGGGAAUCUUCCGCAAUGGGCGAAAGCCUGACGGAGCAACGCCGCGUGAGUGAUGAAGGUCUUCGGAUCGUAAAACUCUGUUAUUAGGGAAGAACAUAUGUGUAAGUAACUGUGCACAUCUUGACGGUACCUAAUCAGAAAGCCACGGCUAACUACGUGCCAGCAGCCGCGGUAAUACGUAGGUGGCAAGCGUUAUCCGGAAUUAUUGGGCGUAAAGCGCGCGUAGGCGGUUUUUUAAGUCUGAUGUGAAAGCCCACGGCUCAACCGUGGAGGGUCAUUGGAAACUGGAAAACUUGAGUGCAGAAGAGGAAAGUGGAAUUCCAUGUGUAGCGGUGAAAUGCGCAGAGAUAUGGAGGAACACCAGUGGCGAAGGCGACUUUCUGGUCUGUAACUGACGCUGAUGUGCGAAAGCGUGGGGAUCAAACAGGAUUAGAUACCCUGGUAGUCCACGCCGUAAACGAUGAGUGCUAAGUGUUAGGGGGUUUCCGGCCCCUUAGUGCUGCAGCUAACGCAUUAAGCACUCCGCCUGGGGAGUACGACCG
rnacentral:rRNA from 1 species